rnacentral:rRNA from 1 species
AGGGAUUGCCUCAGUAACGGCGAGUGAAGCGGCAACAGCUCAAAUUUGAAAUCUGGCUCCCCUCGGGGGCCCGAGUUGUAAUUUGGAGAGGAUGUUUCUGGCGCGGCGCCUACCGGAGUUCCUUGGAACAGGACGCCACAGAGGGUGAGAGCCCCGUACGGUCGGCCGCCUAGCCUCCACGAAACUCCUUCGACGAGUCGAGUAGUUUGGGAAUGCUGCUCAAAAUGGGAGGUAAAUUUCUUCUAAAGCUAAAUACCGGCCAGAGACCGAUAGCGCACAAGUAGAGUGAUCGAAAGAUGAAAAGCACCUUGAAAAGAGGGUUAAACAGUACGUGAAAUUGUUGAAAGGGAAGCGCCUGCGACCAGACUCGCGCCCCGCGGACCAGCCGGCGUUCUCGCCGGUGCACUCCGCGGGGUGCGGGCCAGCAUCGGUUUUCCCUGGGGGAGAAAGGCCGCGGGAACGUAGCUCCUUCGGGAGUGUUAUAGCCCGCGGCGCCAUGCCCCAGGGGGGACCGAGGACCGCGCUUCGGCAAGGAUGCUGGCGUAAUGGUCGUCGGCGACCCGUCU